AUCCCUCAUCUCUCUGAUCUUCAUCAAACUGCUCACAAUGGGCAAUUGGCUCCGAGUUUUGGCCGCUUUGCUCCUGUGUCUACAUGGCACAGCCGCAGCUGUUACCCUGACUCAGCCAUCGUCCAUCUCAUCCUCCCCGGGAAACACCGUCAAGAUCACCUGUACCAUGUCCGGAGGCAGCAUCGGCAGCUACUUCGUGAGUUGGUUCCAGCAGAAGCCUGACGGCGCCCCUCUGUUUGUUUGGGAUGAGGAUGACACCAUGGGUCCGGGAAUUCCUGAUCGAUUCACUGGUUCUGUGGACUCAUCGAGCAACGCCAUGUAUUUAACCAUCAGCGGUGUGCAACCGGAGGACGCCGCCGAUUACUACUGUGGUGCCGGGGAUAGCAACAGUCCAUAUCACUACUUUUUCGGUAAAGGGACGAAGCUGAGUUUGAAAAACCCACAGGGCCCUUCGGUGACUGUCCUUCCGCCUUCACCAGAUCAAAUCACAGCAAAGAGCAAGGCGACCCUGGUGUGUCUGGUGAAUGAUUUUAUCCCGGGAGCUGUGGAGGUCGAGUGGACUGUGGAUGGCAGUGCCAGAAGUCAAGGUGUUGAAACGAGUGCGAUCAAACAGCAGGCGGACAACACGUACAGUGUGAGCAGUUAUCUGACUCUGCCAACCUCCGAGUGGGAGUCACACGACCUGUAUUCCUGUGUGGUCAAACACGAGAGUCUGACGAUUCCGCUCGAAAAAACCAUCACCAGAUCCAGUUGUAACUCACAGGGCCCUUCGGUGACUGUCCUUCCGCCUUCACCAGAUCAAAUCACAGCAAAGAGCAAGGCGACCCUGGUGUGUCUGGUGAAUGAUUUUAUCCCGGGAGCUGUGGAGGUCGAGUGGACUGUGGAUGGCAGUGCCAGAAGUCAAGGUGUUGAAACGAGUGCGAUCAAACAGCAGGCGGACAACACGUACAGUGUGAGCAGUUAUCUGACUCUGCCAACCUCCGAGUGGGAGUCACACGACCUGUAUUCCUGUGUGGUCAAACACCAGACUCUGACCACUCCGCUCGAGAAAAGCAUCGCCAGAUCCAGUUGUCUGCAUCAGGCCAAGUGUGGCAUGUCAAAAGAAGCAGAAAAGCGGAUUUUGUCAGGAACAUCCCUCAUCUCUCUGAUCUUCAUCAAAUUGUUCACGAUGGGCAAUUGGCUCCGAGUUCUGGCCGCUUUGCUCCUGUGUCUCCAUGGCACAGCCGGAGCUUUUACCCUGACUCAACCACCAUCCAUCUCAUCCUCCCCGGGAAACACCGUCAAGAUCACCUGUACCAUGUCCGGAGGCAGCAUCGGCAGCUAUUACACGAGUUGGUACCAGCAGAAGCCUGACGGCGCCCCUCUGUUUGUUUGGUAUGAGGACUCCACCAGAGGUCCGGAAAUUCCUGAUCGAUUCACUGGUUCUGUGGAUUCAUCGAGCAACGCCAUGCAUUUAACCAUCAGCGGUGUGCAACCGGAGGACGCCGCCGAUUAUUACUGUAAAGCAGAUCUUACUUUCGGUAAAGGGACGAAGCUGAGUUUGAAAAAGCCACAGGGCCCGUCGGUGACUGUCCUUCCGCCUUCACCAGAUCAAAUCACAGCAAAGAGCAAGGCGACCCUGGUGUGUCUGGUGAAUGAUUUUAUUCCGGGAGCUGUGGAGGUCGAGUGGACUGUGGAUGGCAGUGCCAGAAGUGAAGGUGUGGAAACGAGUGCGAUCAAACAGCAGGCGGACAACACGUACAGUGUGAGCAGUUAUCUGACUCUGCCAACCUCCGAGUGGGAGUCACACGACCUGUAUUCCUGUGUGGUCAAACACGAGAGUCUGGCCACUCCGCUCGAAAAAAGCAUCGCCAGAUCCAGUUGUACCUAAAUCAAGAAUGUGGAGCGCUAAUCGAAUGUCUACUUUUGUGGUAUUUUGAAAUUGAAGUUCAUUUUACCAGGAAUGUCCAAAUUGAGUAACAGAUUCGCUUUGUAAACACUUUCGAUAAAUUUCCCAACCGAAGUAAAUAGCGUUUAGAUGUUUCAAAUAUUGCCUUAAAACCGGAAAGAAUAAUAUUUGACAAUUUUCUGGAAUGGAAUGGUUGUAUCUUGCAAUGUGGUCACGCGUCAAUGAUCAAACCCAUUGUGUAAAAUUUCAGAAAUACCAUAUGCCACAGCUUAAUAAAAUGUCUAUUCCAUUGUC